rnacentral:lncRNA from 1 species
CUCUACUUCUGAUAUUAUCUGGAAGACUGUUCUAAAUGAAGCCACCAGGUAAUCUGUUCUCCUCUCUUAACAAAUGUUACCUCCUUUCUCUGAGAGAUAAUUGCUAAAACAAUACCAAGUUCAGGCAUGCCAGCAGUCACACAAUGAUAACAUCUCCACUGAAGAAAUUACCAUUGGCAUUGAAGCAAAUAAUGGGAUCCAGUAUUUGUGCUUGCCCCCCUCCUGAAACACUGAGCCUAUUUGGCCCUGGCUGUCCCCAACCACCCCCUCACCACACACUCACCAAAUAAUAUGUGAGCACAGUCCGUCACCACACUCUUCCUAGAGGUUGGUGGAGCUCGUGGACAUUGUCUGAGCAUGUGUGUCAUGGGUUUGCUCACC